GAUCCUGGCUCAGGAUGAACGCUGGCGGCAUGCCUAAGACAUGCAAGUCGAACGAGGUGGCCCAAAGAAGAUUGAGUGCUUGCACAAGAUUGGACUUGGAUUACCACCUAGUGGCGGACGGGUGAGUAACACGUAGGUGACCUGCCUUUGAGUUUGGGAUAACUAUUAGAAAUGAUAGCUAAUACCGGAUUAAAUACAGAUUCGUUUCUGUAUUAAAAGGAGCCUUUAAAGCUUCGCUUAAAGAUGGG
rnacentral:rRNA from 1 species